rnacentral:rRNA from 1 species
UGCGGGGGGGGCGAGCGUUGUUCGGAAUUACUGGGCGUAAAGGGCUCGUAGGCGGCCAACUAAGUCAGACGUGAAAUCCCUCGGCUUAACCGGGGAACUGCGUCUGAUACUGGAUGGCUUGAGGUUGGGAGAGGGAUGCGGAAUUCCAGGUGUAGCGGUGAAAUGCGUAGAUAUCUGGAGGAACACCGGUGGCGAAGGCGGCAUCCUGGACCAAUUCUGACGCUGAGGAGCGAAAGCCAGGGGAGCAAACGGG